CAGAGUAGCUCCACCCUUGUCACACCCAUAGCAGAUCAGCAGUCAUUUUCCUCCUCAGGGAUUGUAACAACUCUAGUUAGAGGUACUCCUUGAUUUAGAAUCAUUAUCAUUUCCCCCCGUAGAUGGCGUCUUUAUUUCCAUACACUGAUAGCAAGCCUAACGAUCGCGAUCGCGCUCAAAGCACUCUGAUUUUUUGUGCACUCCUGGGCAUUCCAAGCUGAUAAGCUCUGCCUCUUCUUCCCCAGGCUGAACUUUUCAUUUCUUCUUUCUGCUCCAGAGAGGACCUCCCAGGCGGCAUCUCCAGGGUGGUGACAGCUGCCAUCCUUGCUUCCUUUCUGGUACCAGAGGCCUGGAUCGAUGAUGGCUCUGUGGUGAAGAGCACUUGCUGCUUCAGCAGAGGACUUGGGUUUGCAUCCCAGAACCUGCAUAACGGCUCACAACUGUACACAUGCACAAUCCUGCUGCCCUACAGAUCUGGAGGUCAAAGGGAGUUGAUUCUCACCAUCCACCUUGGUGAGGCCCCUUUCCUCAGCCAGGAUCCCGGAGGGGAAGGAAAAGGAAGUGAACAAAUGAUACAUAUCCACCUUCUCGCCCCUGAUCAGCUGGGGUCCUCCAAUCUCGAUACCCUCAUUCCCAUGCUCCUCUCCUGCUUGACGUCUGCUGAGAUGACUGUGAGCAUUUCCACUGUGCUGCGUGAGCCUCCAGACUGUACCUCCUUCCCUUCGCCGAGGCAGGUGGCUUCCAUCAUCUGUCUCUGAGUUCACCGAUGCCAUCCCACCAGCUCUCUACUGCUGCAUCUGUCCGAAAUGCUAUUUCCAUGCCUGUGUCUCUUAGCCCUGUGAUGUCAGCUUUCUAUCAACUUCUGUCUAUGUACUGGGAUUUCCACCUUGUUUGGAGAUGAUUUGGAGUUGGUCUGAAGCAUGUUAUGGUGACUGUUUAAACAAAUCCUUGUCAAACAAUUCCAUGGUCUGACUCAUCCUGAAGUUUGGCAUUGCUGUAUCUGUCCAUUCUUGUUGUAACAAAGGAGGGCGUCCAGCCUGGACAGUUGCGUCUACACUGGAAGAGGAUUCAAGCAGCUUUGGGACAGGGAAGGCGCCUGCUUUGGUGCGGUAACGAGAGGCUCCUGACACUGUGCUGUGCUGUAAAGAAGAACCUGGGUGUGAAUUCUAACUCCAGUGCUUAUUCACUCACGGAUGGGUCUCCAACUCUUGCCUGGAGCUGCACCUGCUCUUGACAACCCAGGACGCUUUCCUGAUGUGCGGGGCUCAGCAGAUGUGUGCUGCACCCAUGCGCGUGGUCAGAGAGGCCCUGUGCUCUCUGUCCUGGUCUUGCACAUGUGCAUCUGGGCCCAGAAACUUCUCCAUGGUCUCUGGUCUUCAGGGUGGGUAGAACCCCUGAACAGGAAGUUGGUGGGUCCUUCCACCAAGAACCUGACCCCCUCAGCAACCCUUUUCCUCGAAAACAAUAGCUGUGCCCCUUGGGAAACAGUAACAUGCCCGUCCCCCUCCUCCGCCAAUGUUUUUUGGGGCUUUUUUUGGGCAGAUAGCACUGGGGUUGGGGCCUCGGGGACCAGAGGGAACGUCAGUGUGAGUGGUGCCACCCCUGGGCACGUGG